rnacentral:rRNA from 1 species
UACGGAGGGUCCGAGCGUUGUCCGGAAUUACUGGGCGUAAAGAGCUCGUAGGUGGUUUGUCGCGUUGUUCGUGAAAACUCACAGCUUAACUGUGGGCGUGCGGGCGAUACGGGCAGACUAGAGUACUGCAGGGGAGACUGGAAUUCCUGGUGUAGCGGUGGAAUGCGCAGAUAUCAGGAGGAACACCGGUGGCGAAGGCGGCAUCCUGGACCAAUAUUGACGCUGAGGAGCGAAAGCCAGGGGAGCAAACGGG